UUGAGGAUGUGGUGACAAAAAAUACCUACCUAUUUUAGAUCCCUGACAAGAGAAACCAAUGAAUACUUCUGAGCCUUUCU
rnacentral:snoRNA from 1 species